rnacentral:rRNA from 1 species
CCUACGGGAGGCAGCAGUGGGGAAUAUUGCACAAUGGGGGAAACCCUGAUGCAGCGACGCCGCGUGAGUGAAGAAGUAUUUCGGUAUGUAAAGCUCUAUCAGCAGGGAAGAAAAUGACGGUACCUGAGUAAGAAGCCCCGGCUAACUACGUGCCAGCAGCCGCGGUAAUACGUAGGGGGCAAGCGUUAUCCGGAUUUACUGGGGGUAAAGGGAGCGUAGACGGCAGCACAAGUCUGGAGUGAAAUGCCGGGGCUUAACCCCGGGACUGCUUUGGAAACUGGGCAACUAGAGUGCAGGAGAGGUGAGUGGAAUUCCUAGUGUAGCGGUGAAAUGCGUAGAUAUUAGGAGGAACACCAGUGGCGAAGGCGGCUUACUGGACUGUAACUGACGUUGAGGCUCGAAAGCGUGGGGAGCAAACAGGAUUAGAUACCCGAGUAGUC